rnacentral:rRNA from 1 species
AUGGCCGACGUCGGGGAGGUAGGCACUCCGGCGAGGUGGCGACAGAAUUGGGGUGUAGGUGCUCGUGGGGUUUGCUGGUGCUGCUCGACUUGGUCGACGAUGGUGCACGGGAGAAGAAGUGCUCCGGCGGGGCUGCUUGCUGACGACGGCCGGAGACAGAGGCGGGGCCCUCGGACUCAAGCAGUGGCGGGGCGCAUCGGCCAGCUCGGAGGCGGAGAGGUGGGAGUCGGGAAGGAGGCGGCGAAGUGGAGGCGGCGAUCUUGUGACGCGGUGCAGAAGAGAGAGGCGCGAGGAAGGAGGGGUCGGCGUGGGGUCCGGGCAGCAGAGGGAGGAGGUGGUGACGCUAGGUGGAACGAGGGGAAGGGGAUAUCGAGGAGAUGGCUGCUCUGGCGGCACGAGGUGGAGGAGAGGGAGAGGGAUCGAGAGAAGAGGUCGGCCUAG